GGAUCUUCGGUUCCAGCCGCCCCUUUGCAUCGCCAUCCACGAGGCGCAUUUCCCCGCGCCAUUCAUGAAUAUCCUUCGGAGCCCCGGUACAGAUUCGACGAUUACUUCGCCAGGAUCUUGUUGGAUUGAUUCUUCACUCGGAUCCCUGUCGAAACAUUUUCAUACCGGAGCUUUUGAAUCCUCGAAAUUCGUCCAUGGUGUCGGUUUCGUUCGAGUGGGGAGAGAAAUCUUCGUGGCAGAGAGUUUGCGCAGUGUGAUGCGAAGAAUGGCUGUUGUUUCAGUAGAAAUGCCUGAUCUCUGAAUGUGGGUAAAGCUUCGGUGGGAGGUUUAUUCGCGAGAUGGACAGCGUUCUGAGCCUUCAGGCUGUUGGCAGCAGGCGUUUUGUGUUGUCCUUCAUCCCAGACACCUUUAACACGGCAAGAAAGGACCGUGUUGUUUACAAGCCUUAUGGUCUUGUUUCUCCUUAAAAGAUUCAGGUGCUCUGAAGUUUGCAAAGACUAUUGAGUGAUAAUAUCUUUCAACAUGCUUGAUAUAACUGUUAAACUUUACCGCAAGCAAUAUUGUUUUGUUUUCACUCAUGAUUGGGAAAUGUCGGUUUCUGCGUGAAGGUCUGGCACAGUAUGUAAACAGGAAAAGAAAAUAAAAGAAACUUUUGAAAGCCA